GGAUAAGGUUGGCAGGAAAGAAGGGAAAGGAAAAGCCUGGAUUAUAUCCAGGUGCACAGAACACUGGGAAAUGUGAGAAUAAAGGAUGCAUGGAGCUGUGGGGGAUGCUGACAAAUAGAUGAAUCAGGAGUACCAGAAACCAUCCAGAUUUGGUUCUAGGUCCUUGCACCUUGGAAGGCUAAUACAAGUUUACUGAAUUAAAACGUAAGCUAUAAGUAGUAUCUGAUGAAUUCAAAGUCCUUCCACCCCCGCAAUAAUGCCCACCAUAUGUAGUAGAUACAAUAAAUGCUGGUUUAUUUUCUCUCGCAGACUAGACUUUGGUAGGUAGAAACGAGAGGUAAAGGGGCUCCACCCGCAGUUCUUCCCGGUAGGCUACUGCAUGCUCCCACACACUUUCCCGCCAGAGGUCUACUGGGUGCAUUAUCCAGCGGUCGCUGGCAAGAAAUCGUCCCUGACAUGGAUAAACCAAAAAACAUCCUCUUGCUGUGAGGAUGUUGCUAAUCCCAGGCACCAUCACCAGCCUGAACAGAAAACUCAGGAGAAAAAGAACAGCAUACGGCAUGGAAAACCGUGAAACUAGGCCAGAGAAGGGGCGGCCGCUCUCUUACUAGUGUCUGCUGCUCCACCCCAGGGUCCCAGCCACUGAAUGGCGAAGGGAGUGGGGAGCAUCCCUCAGGGAGCCCCAGUAACCACCCCUCCCCUGCCUUUCCACCUCAUUCCUCCUUUCUCCCUCCUUCAGCCUUGCGGGCAGACCCGGUGGGCCGCCUGGACCGCGCGCAGGAGGGCUGGGAUUGCGGUGGGUGAACCCUGCGGACCUCUCCCAUCUGCUCCACCCCGACCGCCUGCGGUUCCGCGCCCAAGGCUGGACAAAUUUAUAAGAAAUAGACAAGCAAAAACCCUGGCUUCUUGUCACUGAUUUUAAAGAACCCACUGAGGUCACUGCGAUGGGUGGAGGGAAGCGAGAUUGGAGGAAUACAAGCCAAAGGGAAGGAAGGGGACGAAGGCGAACAGGGAGUGACCUCUUCCUCCAACCCCCGGGCCCGCUGGGAGCGGCGCGAGGCCAGAGGCCCUUGAGAGGCUCGGGCUGUCCUGGGGGCCUCAGUCCUCCGCCUGUACCCCAUGGGGGACCCUGCUGCCACCAGGCGCCCCGCACUCACUCGACCUGCAGCGUGCUGGGCUUAAUCUUCACCUCAACCUUGUAGGAGGAGCCGGUGAGCAGCUUGAUGGUGCGGUUCUGGCCGAAGCGCUGCCCGUCCACCUUGUAAAAGACCGGGCCGUCAUUGGGCUGGAUGCGCAGCGCGAUGGAGAGGCGCACGAGGCCCGGCAGGUCCCCCAUGUCUGGGCGAGGGUCUGGCGCGGCGGCUCCGGGGGGCGGAGGACAGCGCCGGCUGCGGCCGAGUGGCUGGAGCGCGAGGGGCGGAGAGGAAGCGCGGGGAGGGUGAGGGAGGUGGUGGAGCUGAGGCUGCCGCUAGGAACCCGCGCCGUCGCCGCCGUCCGCCCGGGCUUUUGAGGAGCAGCUCCUUAGGCUGUGGCCCCCCUCCCCACUCGGCGAGGAAGCGGGCCCAAGAGACGGCUCCAAGGCCGCGCGCUUCCCCAUCCCCCGCUCCAGUGCUGCGCCCUCCACGCACCCGAAGGCUCGCUCUGGCCCGCAGGCCGCCGCGCAGAUCCGCGCAGCUGGGGGCGAGGGAGUUAAUCCUGUUUACGCACCACAAUCCCCUUCAGCUGGGGAAGCGGACAUUUAGGCUCCUCCUAGAACAGCCCCGGGCAGGAGGAGGAGAGGUUUGGGAGGCACUGGGAAGGCGCUGGAGUUAAGCGACCACUAUGCCAAGGAGCGAGACCCCCGGAAUCUGGAUACCGCCUCGGCCAGCUACGUGAGGUGGACACUGCUGCUCGCGGAUCCGGCGCCAGCCAGGCGGGAGGAGGCUGAGGGGGGUUACAUAGAGCCAAGAUUUAAGUGCCACUUUGCUGCUCUUCCAGUAAACAAGACAGAU
rnacentral:lncRNA from 1 species